UACGAAGGUGGCUAGCGUUGUUCGGAAUCACUGGGCGUAAAGGGCGCGUAGGCGGCCGAUCAAGUCGGUGGUGAAAGCCUGUGGCUCAACCACAGAAUUGCCUUCGAUACUGUUUGGCUUGAGACCGGAAGAGGUAAGUGGAACUGCGAGUGUAGAGGUGAAAUUCGUAGAUAUUCGCAAGAACACCAGUGGCGAAGGCGGCUUACUGGACCGGUUCUGACGCUGAGGCGCGAAAGCGUGGGGAGCAAACAGG
rnacentral:rRNA from 1 species